rnacentral:rRNA from 1 species
UACAGAGGUCUCAAGCAUUGUUCGGAUUCAUUGGGCGUAAAGGGUGCGUAGGCGGCGCGGUAAGUCGGGUGUGAAAUCUCGGGGCUUAACUCCGAAACUGCAUUCGAUACUGCCGUGCUUGAGGACUGGAGAGGAGACUGGAAUUUACGGUGUAGCGGUGAAAUGCGUAGAUAUCGUAAGGAAGACCAGUGGCGAAGGCGGGUCUCUGGACAGUUCCUGACGCUGAGGCACGAAGGCCAGGGGAGCAAACGGG